CGGCGGACGGGUGAGUAACACGUGGAUAACCUACCUAUAAGACUGGGAUAAUUCGGGAAACCGGAGCUAAUACCGGAUAAUAUAUUGAACCGCAUGGUUCAAUAGUGAAAGACGGUUUUGCUGUCACUUAUAGAUGGAUCCGCGCCGCAUUAGCUAGUUGGUAAGGUAACGGCUUACCAAGGCAACGAUGCGUAGCCGACCUGAGAGGGUGAUCGGCCACACUGGAACUGAGACACGGUCCAGACUCCUACGGGAGGCAGCAGAA
rnacentral:rRNA from 1 species